AAUAAAAUGGGAGAGCUGAUUGAUUGGCAGUUUGACUGGGGCGGUCGUCUUUAAUAGAGUAGCAAAGUACAUCCAAAUAUAAAAUUAAUUAUAAAAUAUUUACCGUUAAUAAUAUUAAUGUGUAAAUAUUCUCACAAAUAUCAUAUUGCUGUAAAUUUUUAAUUUACUUUAACAUCAAUUUAUUUUUUUGUUUUUAUAAGGUAUAGCUAGAAAUUGAAUGGAGAUCAAUUAACCAGUGAUAAGGUUAUGGAGGGCGCAAUGGCGGUAAGCAUGCUUAACUGAUAGACUUAAAAGUCGCACAGAUACGUAAGUAGGGCAUAGUGACCCCUCGCUAUAUUA
rnacentral:rRNA from 1 species